rnacentral:rRNA from 1 species
CCUACGGGCGGCAGCAGUGAGGAAUAUUGGUCAAUGGGCGCGAGCCUGAACCAGCCAAGUAGCGUGAAGGAUGACUGCCCUACGGGUUGUAAACUUCUUUUAUAAAGGAAUAAAGUGAGGCACGUGUGCCCUUUUGUAUGUACGUUAUGAAUAAGGAUCGGCUAACUCCGGGCCAGCAGCCGCGGUAAUACGGAGGGUCCGAGCGUUAUCCGGAUUUAUUGGGGUUACAGGGAGCGGAGAUGGGUUGUUAAGUCAGUUGUGAAAGUUUGCGGCUCAACCGUAAAAUUGCAAUUGAUACUGGCAGCCUUGAGUACAGUUGAGGUAGGCGGAAUUCGUGGUGUAGCCG